rnacentral:lncRNA from 1 species
GGAGCUAUGAAAUAUCUGAGCUGCGCAAGUGAUGCACAAGGAGACAGAAGCAGUAUGACCUUUACACAGUGACCUGGCUCAAAUAAUUUCAGGCUGUCAUUAACCAGGCGAGCUCCGCUUUCUCUCUGAGCUGCAAACAAGGCCACUGAAUGUCACACCAAGUGGCCAGCAUGUCUGUGAAGGGCAGAAAGUGGGGCAGCCAAACAGCUGGCAGAGGCCAGCUAGACAGAGACUCCCUUUUCUUCCAUUGGAAUGAGGGGUGGGGAGAUUUGAUGGUGUCCUGUACAGGUUGGGUGUUAAUCUGAUGUGGUGCUCUUGGAGAAGCUUACCUGAGUUAGGUGCUUUCUCAGCACGUGGUGUGUGCUGCCCCUUCAAGCUGCAGGAGUCCUAGAAGAGGCCCUGCCUGGAUGCUGGGGCUGCCCUGAGACUCCCUCCUCCUCCUCUUCCCUCCACAGCUCUCCCUGCUUCUAUCCACAGCUGUGCUCCAGGUAAACAACCAGGGGCCUCCAGGUGGAGAGAGAACAUACCCAGACAGGUUCUGCUGCCUGUAGGCUUGAUGUCUUUCCCCUACAACACGCCUUGCUUGCCAGGCUGGAAGAGGGGCUCCAGAAACUCGGGAAACCUGGGCCUGUAGCUGGCAUGUGGAAAAAAGGCCUGGAAAAGCACCAUUCCUGUCCAUGAAGCCCCCAGAUGGAACCAG